rnacentral:rRNA from 1 species
GACGAACGCUGGCGGCGUGCCUAAUACAUGCAAGUUGAGCGCUGAAGGUUGGUACUUGUACCAACUGGAUGAGCAGCGAACGGGUGAGUAACGCGUGGGGAAUCUGCCUUUGAGCGGGGGACAACAUUUGGAAACGAAUGCUAAUACCGCAUAAAAACUUUAAACACAAGUUUUAAGUUUGAAAGAUGCAAUUGCAUCACUCAAAGAUGAUCCCGCGUUGUAUUAGCUAGUUGGUGAGGUAAAGGCCCACCAAGGCGAUGAUACAUAGCCGACCUGAGAGGGUGAUCGGCCACAUUGGGACUGAGGCACGGCCCAAACUCCUACGGGAGGCAGCAGUAGGGAAUCUUCGGCAAUGGACGAAAGUCUGACCGAGCAACGCCGCGUGAGUGAAGAAGGUUUUCGGAUCGUAAAACUCUGUUGGUAGAGAAGAACGUUGGUGAGAGUGGAAAGCUCAUCAAGUGACGGUAACUACCCAGAAAGGGACGGCUAACUACGUG